rnacentral:rRNA from 1 species
AAAUUUAUAGUCAAGCUACUAAGGGCGUACGGUGGAUGCCUUGGCGUUACUAGGCGAUGAAAGACGUGGCUAGCUGCGAUAAGCCUCGGGGAGCUGCUAAGCAAGCUUAGAUCCGGGGAUCUCUGAAUGGGGAAACCUAUCCAAAGUAAUGUUUGGAUAUUCAUUGCUGAAUAUAUAGGCAAUGAAGGCGAACGAAGGGAACUGAAACAUCUCAGUACCUUCAGGAAGAGAAAACAACAGUGAUUUCCUCAGUAGCGGCGAGCGAACGGGAAAGAGCCUAAACCGGAUAUGUGUAUAAGUCCACAGACGUUGCAUAUCCGGUGUUGCGGGUUUUUGUCGGGCAAUGCUGUGGUGUUGCCGGGGAGUUAAAAAGGUAAUGUGUAGUCGAACCGUGUGGAAACACGGGCCACAGAAGGUGAUAGCCCUGUAGGUAAAACACAUUAUCCUCCCUUGACAAAACACCCAAGUACUACGGGACACGAGAAAUCCUGUAGGAAUCCGGGAGGACCAUCUUCCAAGGCUAAAUACUC